rnacentral:ribozyme from 16 species
AGGAAGAAAGAUAGGCUUCGAGUUGAUCGUUUGGUGGAUUCCCAUUCCUCAGUUGAUUCAUCUUGUGGCUUCCACGCGGACGCUCUUGAUGGGAAAAUAGUCCUCAAAACAUGGUAUUUCCGUGCACCAAAUCCGGAAGUAAAGGGACAAUGGUUGAAACAAAUGAAAUUUUUUUGUUCAUAACUACUUUUUGUGUAAUAAACUGGAAUCAUCCUGAAAUCGACACAAUAUAAAAAUUAAAAGAAGUAGCAUUUGUUGCUCUCUUCUAUUUCA